rnacentral:rRNA from 1 species
UGGGGAAUUUUGGACAAUGGGGGAAACCCUGAUCCAGCCAUCCCGCGUGUGCGAUGAAGGCCUUCGGGUUGUAAAGCACCUUUGGCAGGAAAGAAACGUCGCGGGUUAAUACCCCGCGAAACUGACGGUACCUGCAGAAUAAGCACCGGCUAACUACGUGCCAGCAGCCGCGGUAAUACGUAGGGUGCAAGCGUUAAUCGGAAUUACUGGGCGUAAAGCGUGCGCAGGCGGUUCGGAAAGAAAGAUGUGAAAUCCCAGAGCUUAACUUUGGAACUGCAUUUUUAACUACCGGGCUAGAGUGUGUCAGAGGGAGGUGGAAUUCCGCGUGUAGCAGUGAAAUGCGUAGAUAUGCGGAGGAACACCGAUGGCGAAGGCAGCCUCCUGGGGAUAACACUGACGCUCAUGCACGAAAGCGUGGGGAGCAAACAGGAUUAGAUACCCUGGUAGUCCACGCCCUAAACGAUGUCAACUAGCUGUUGGGGCCUUCGGGCCUUGGUAGCGCAGCUAACGCGUGAAGUUGACCGCCUGGGGAGUACGGUC